rnacentral:rRNA from 1 species
GACGAACGCUGGCGGCGUGCCUAAUACAUGCAAGUCGAACGCACAGUUUAUACCGUAGCUUGCUACACCAUAAACUGUGAGUUGCGAACGGGUGAGUAACGCGUAGGUAACCUGCCUGGUAGCGGGGGAUAACUAUUGGAAACGAUAGCUAAUACCGCAUAAUAUUGAUUAUUGCAUGAUAAUUGAUUGAAAGAUGCUAUUGCAUCACUACCAGAUGGACCUGCGUUGUAUUAGCUAGUAGGUGAGGUAACGGCUCACCUAGGCGACGAUACAUAGCCGACCUGAGAGGGUGAUCGGCCACACUGGGACUGAGACACGGCCCAGACUCCUACGGGAGGCAGCAGUAGGGAAUCUUCGGCAAUGGACGAAAGUCUGACCGAGCAACGCCGCGUGAGUGAAGAAGGGUUUCGGAUCGUAAAGCUCGGUUGUAAGAGAAGAACGGGUGUGAGAGUGGAAAGUUCACACUGUGACGGUAUCUUACCAGAAAGGGACGGCUAACUACGUG